AGUCGAACGCAGUAGCAAUACUGAGUGGCAAACGGGUGAGUAUAAUGUGGGAAUCUGCCUUUUGGUUCGGAAUAACACGAGGAAACUUGUGCUAAUACCGGAUAAGCCCUUACGGGGAAAGUUUUAAUGCCAAAAGAUGAGCCCGCAUUUGAUUAGUUAGUUGGUAAGGUAAUGGCUUACCAAGACUACAAUCAAUAGCUGAUUUGAGAGGAUGAUCAGCCACACUGGGACUGAGAUACGGCCCAAACUCC
rnacentral:rRNA from 1 species